GGAGGUGCAUGUGGCUCAGAGAAAGAGCAUCUGCUUGGCGUGCAGAAGGCCCUUGUGGUUCAAUCCCCAGCAUCUCCA
rnacentral:tRNA from 1 species